rnacentral:sRNA from 1 species
ACUGGGUGUGAUGGUGCAUGCCUGUAAUCCUAGCAACUUGGGAGGCUGAGGCAGGAGGAUCAUAAGUUCAAGGCCAACCCUAGCAACUUAGCAAGGCUCUGAGCAACUUAAUGAGACCUUGUCUCAA